rnacentral:rRNA from 1 species
GACGAACGCUGGCGGCGUGCUUAACACAUGCAAGUCGAACGGAAAGGCCUGCUUUUGUGGGGUGCUCGAGUGGCGAACGGGUGAGUAACACGUGAGUAACCUGCCCUUGACUUUGGGAUAACUUCAGGAAACUGGGGCUAAUACCGGAUAGGAGCUCCUGCUGCAUGGGGGGGGUUGGAAAGUUUCGGCGGUUGGGGAUGGACUCGCGGGUUAUCAGAUUGUUGGUGGGGUAGUGGCUUACCAAGGCUUUGACGGGUAGCCGGCCUGAGAGGGUGACCGGCCACAUUGGGACUGAGAUACGGCCCAGACUCCUACGGGAGGCAGCAGUGGGGAAUAUUGCACAAUGGGCGGAAGCCUGAUGCAGCAACGCCGCGUGCGGGAUGACGGCCUUCGGGUUGUAAACCGCUUUCGCCUGUGACGAAGCGUGAGUGACGGUAAUGGGUAAAGAAGCACCGGCUAACUACGUG